rfam:Pseudomonas batumici strain TCM B-321 Contig_107, whole genome shotgun sequence.
GGGUCUGUAGCUCAGUUGGUUAGAGCGCACCCCUGAUAAGGGUGAGGUCGGCAGUUCGAAU